rnacentral:lncRNA from 1 species
AAAAUCUUAACUUAACGAACAAGCCACUGCGGGCUGUAUUUGCCAAAUUAGUAUGUCUUUAUAUUCAUAACUCCUUUGCAUGUUACAACCAUUGGUUAACCACGGGCUAUUCUAUCGUGCAAAACUUAGGAUCUAACUACUUGCUUUCAACCAGAGUACUCUACAUGACUUGGGCGGCAAAUUCUUUAUAAUUAGAAAGAAAUGGCAAAUAAGUCUCCUAAGGGGCCAAAGAUAUGUUAUAAUCCAGUAUUAAGUCCCCACAAUAGUUAUGCACGAGGCGGGUAGACCAUUCUCUAUAAUGAUUGAGAUGGUUCUCGAAUCUUGAUGAAACUCCUGUCGCAAGUCAAUUGAUUUAUCAAGGGUAUGUUUCAGAUGAGACUAGAUUUCAGUAAUUAAACUCGGGAUAUAAAACAGAACAUGCCAUGGCUUGAAUUCAUUCUGAACAAUCUAUGGCUUAUAUGGAAGUAAUAGAAAGUCAUUACAGAAUAGAACCAUUUAUUAUUUCAAACUUAUUACAUUCUUUUGCUAACAAAAGAGUUUCAGUAGAUCUUUUGAAGGACACUUCACUGAUUACGCCUGCUCAGCUUCUUCUUCUUCUUCUUCUCCAGCAGUCUCUUCUUCGGCUAAAUCUGCAUCCGCUGCAUCUUCCUCUGCUAAAUCUGCAUCUGCUAAAUCGGCAUCUGCUACAUCAUCUGCUAAAUCUGCAGGCAUCUCUUCAUCUAUUGCUUUCUUCGGUGGUGGAGGCCUUUUAGGCUUUUUAGGGGCAGGCUUCACCAGUGGAGAUUUCCCUGGCUUCUUUUUCGGUGGGAUUUUCUUUCCUGCUUUGGGUGGCUUCCCUUUCCCUCCUUUAGGAGGCUUUUUACCUCCUUUUCCUCCUGGUUUUUUACCUCCCUUUCCUCCUGGUUUUUUGCCUCCUUUCCCUCCUGGUUUUUUCGGUCCUUGUUUCUUGCCUGCGCCCUUCUUAGGAGGUUUGUUUUUUACUCCUCCUUUUUUAACUGGUUUUUUCUGUUUCUGCACAAAUUUGUAAGAAGACACUUUUAUCAGCUUGUAAAAUCAAAAUGGAAUCAGUCGAGCUACUACAAGUAAACUCGCAACUGCUUUGUUUAGAGCUAACUGGCUCAUAUCCCCCUGCAUAAAUCCAAGCAUCUUAAAAUUGUAAAUUCAAUAAUAACGGUGUUCAUGAAGUUGAAUGAAAAUUUUAUCAAGUGUCUAGUGUCAUGCCCCGCAUGUAGCUGCCAAAAGCAUAUCCCCGUAUAUCUUAUAGAGAAUCUCUCAAUUCUUUUAGAGCAACCAGGAAGAGAUUCACUGUUCAGAUUUUUGCUCAAGGCCACACCCUCUUUUGGAGGGCGUGACACUAGUGAUACUAUAUAUGAAAAAUGUGGAAUAUAUUUAACAUCAAUGAGCAAAACAAGAGAACUAAGAUGUAGGCAUUGAUGAUACAUUACAUUUUGCAGGAAAAGUGCUCUGGCGUCAGCAGCUCCUCCUGGCUCCCCUUCUGCUGAUAGAAACAGUGGAGAUGGCUUGUCGGGUGAUGGAGGACCCUCGGAUUUAGG